CAGUCGCCGCGGGAAUACGUAGGUGGCAAGCGUUGUCCGGAAUUAUUGGGCGUAAAGCGCGCGCAGGCGGAUAGGUCAGUCUGUCUUAAAAGUUCGGGGCUUAACCCCGUGAUGGGAUGGAAACUGCCAAUCUAGAGUAUCGGAGAGGAAAGUGGAAUUCCUAGUGUAGCGGUGAAAUGCGUAGAUAUUAGGAAGAACACCAGUGGCGAAGGCGACUUUCUGGACGAAAACUGACGCUGAGGCGCGAAAGCCAGGGGAGCGAACGGGAUUAGAUACCCGAGUAGUCCCUGUCUCUUAUACC
rnacentral:rRNA from 1 species